rnacentral:rRNA from 1 species
UACGGGGGGAGCAAGCGUUGUUCGGAUUUACUGGGCGUAAAGGGCGCGUAGGCGGCCUCUGCAAGUCGACUGUGAAAUCUCCGGGCUUAACCCGGAAAGGUCAGCCGAUACUGCAGGGCUAGAGUGCAGAAGGGGCAACUGGAAUUCUACGGUGUAGCGGUGAAAUGCGUAGAUAUCGAGAGGAACACCUGCGGCGAAGGCGGGUUGCUGGGCUGACACUGACGCUGAAGCGCGAAAGCUAGGGGAGCGAACGGG